GAAUACUUUCUCUACAUCCUCUUUUAGUAUACCCAUGUAUCUUUCUGGAGGAUGGGAGAUUCUACCUGAUCUACGAGGUGGAGGUAGAACAUUAACUACUGGCUCAUUAUAAGCAGGUUUUUGAGGAUCUAUAGCUCGUUGCUCUUCAGAGAUUUUUCUCAUCGAACUCAAUUAACCUCUUACUGCCACCAUCCUGGAUA
rnacentral:lncRNA from 1 species